UGAGGAAUAUUGGGCAAUGCCCGCAAGGGUGACCCAGCAACGCCGCGUGGAGGAUGAAUGUCGUAAGAUUGUAAACUCCUGUUAGAGGGGAAGAAUAGUACCGGUUGGACCGGUAUAUGACUGUACCCUCAGAGAAAGCCCCGGCUAACUACGUGCCAGCAGCCGCGGUAAUACGUAGGGGGCAAGCGUUGUCCGGAUUUACUGGGUGUAAAGGGCGCGCAGGCGGGAUAAAAAGUCAGUGGUGAAAUCCUACAGCUUAACUGUAGAACUGCCUUUGAUACUUUUAUUCUUGAGUUCAGGAGAGAGAGACGGAAUUCCAGGUGUAGUGGUGAAAUACGUAGAUAUCUGGAAGAACACCAGUUGCGAAGGCGGUCUCUUGAUCCGACACUGACGCUGAGGCGCGAAAGCGUGGGGAGCAAACA
rnacentral:rRNA from 1 species